rnacentral:rRNA from 1 species
GACGAACGCUGGCGGCGUGCUUAACACAUGCAAGUCGAACGGAAAGGCCUGCUUUCCCUUGUGGAUUGCGGGUACUCGAGUGGCGAACGGGUGAGUAACACGUGAGUGAUCUGCCCCCAACUUGGGUAUAAGCCUGGGAAACUGGGUCUAAUUCCCGAUAGGACUGCAGGGUGGUGCCUGUGGUGGAAAACGAUUUUCUAGUGGUUGGGGAUGAGCUCGCGGCCUUUCAGCUUGUUGGUGGGGUAAUGGCCUACCAAGGCGGGGACGGGUAGGCGGCCUGGGGGAGUGGGCCGCCACAGUGGAACUGCGAUACGGCCCAGAAUCCUACGCGAGGCAGCAGUGGGGAAUAAUGCACAGUGGGCGGAAGCCUGAUGCAGCGACGCCGCGUGGGGGAUGACGGCCUUCGGGUUGUAAACUCCUUUCGACCGCGAGGAAGCCACCUGGAUGGAAGGGUGGUGACGGUAGUGGUAGAAGAAGCACCGGCUAACUACGUG